GACAGAGGAUGCAAGCGUUAUCCGGAAUGAUUGGGCGUAAAGCGUCUGUAGGUGGCUUUUUAAGUCUGCCGUCAAAUCCCAGGGCUCAACCCUGGACAGGCGGUGGAAACUACCAAGCUAGAGUACGGUAGGGGCAGAGGGAAUUCCGGGUGUAGUGGUGAAAUGCGUAGAGAUCCGGAGGAACACCAGUGGCGAAAGCGGCCACCUGGACUGCACCUGACGCUGAAACGCGAAAGCUAGGGGAGCGAACGGG
rnacentral:rRNA from 1 species